UACAGAGGGGGCAAGCGUUGUUCGGAAUUACUGGGCGUAAAGGGCGCGUAGGCGGCCUUCUAAGUCGAACGUGAAAUCCCCGGGCUCAACCCGGGAACUGCGUCCGAUACUGGAAGGCUUGAAUCCGGGAGAGGGAUGCGGAAUUCCAGGUGUAGCGGUGAAAUGCGUAGAUAUCUGGAGGAACACCGGUGGCGAAGGCGGCAUCCUGGACCGGCAUUGACGCUG
rnacentral:rRNA from 1 species